rnacentral:rRNA from 1 species
UACGAAGGGGGCUAGCGUUGCUCGGAAUGACUGGGCGUAAAGGGCGCGUAGGCGGAUGGCACAGUCAGAUGUGAAAUUCCCGGGCUUAACCGUGGGGCUGCAUUUGAUACGUGUUGUCUAGAGUGAGGAAGAGGGUUGUGGAAUUCCCAGUGUAGAGGUGAAAUUCGUAGAUAUUGGGAAGAACACCGGUGGCGAAGGCGGCAACCUGGUCCUUGACUGACGCUGAGGCGCGAAAGCGUGGGGAGCAAACAGG